rnacentral:rRNA from 1 species
UGUGUGGUGCGAUUCUGUGGGGUUUGAGGAGCUUAACACCUUCAUGCUUUGCAUAUUCGUGCUCUUGGGUGUACUUGCCCGUGUGGUUGGUUAACAUCAAUUUUGGUGGUCAUAAAAUGACUGGAGGAAUGUAGCUUCGAUCUUGUAUUGAAGUGUUAUAGCCUUCGGUAGAUGUGAUGAUCGAGAUUGAGGAUUGCAACGGAUACCCUUCGGGGCUACCUGUCUGAUCUCUGAUCGUUGCUCUGGUGCCGAAAGCUUGCUUACGGUUAUCAAAGUCGAUGGUCAAUAGGUUAGAACGGGUUAAAUUCGUUAAGGAUGUUGACGUAA